UCUUCUGGCCUGCAAGCUGACAU
rnacentral:piRNA from 1 species